ACCUUCGGGCCUUGCGCUAUCAGAUGAGCCUAGGUCGGAUUAGCUAGUUGGUGAGGUAAUGGCUCACCAAGGCUACGAUCCGUAACUGGUCUGAGAGGAUGAUCAGUCACACUGGAACUGAGACACGGUCCAGACUCCUACGGGAGGCAGCAGUGGGGAAUAUUGGACAAUGGGCGAAAGCCUGAUCCAGCCAUGCCGCGUGUGUGAAGAAGGUCUUCGGAUUGUAAAGCACUUUAAGUUGGGAGGAAGGGUUGUAGAUUAAUACUCUGCAAUUUUGACGUUACCGACAGAAUAAGCACCGGCUAACUCUGUGCCAGCAGCCGCGGUAAUACAGAGGGUGCAAGCGUUAAUCGGAAUUACUGGGCGUAAAGCGCGCGUAGGUGGUUCGUUAAGUUGGAUGUGAAAUCCCCGGGCUCAACCUGG
rnacentral:rRNA from 1 species